GACGUAGGAGGCGAGCGUUGUCCGGAAUUAUUGGGCGUAAAGGGCUCGUAGGCGGUUUGUCGCGUCGGGAGUGAAAUCAUCUGGCUUAACUGGGUGCUUGCUUUCGAUACGGGCAGACUAGAGGUAUGCAGGGGAGAACGGAAUUCCUGGUGUAGCGGUGAAAUGCGCAGAUAUCAGGAGGAACACCGGUGGCGAAGGCGGUUCUCUGGGCAUGAUCUGACGCUGAGGAGCGAAAGUGUGGGGAGCGAACAGG
rnacentral:rRNA from 1 species